rnacentral:rRNA from 1 species
UACGGAGGGUGCAAGCGUUGUCCGGAUUUAUUGGGUUUAAAGGGUGCGUAGGCGGCUGAUUAAGUCAGCGGUGAAAUUCCACAGCUUAACUGUGGAACUGCCAUUGAUACUGGUCAGCUUGAGUACAGAUGAGGUAGGCGGAAUUGACAGUGUAGCGGUGAAAUGCUUAGAUAUUGUCAAGAACACCUAUUGCGAAGGCAGCUUACUAAACUGUAACUGACGCUGAGGCACGAAAGCGUGGGGAUCAAACAGG